rnacentral:rRNA from 1 species
UUAGUUGGUGUGGUGACUUGUCUGGUUUAUUCCGAUAACGAACGAGAUUUGGGCUCUAAUUGAUUUUAGCGGACGGCCAUAUUACUAUGGAGGAGGUCCGAGUCAAAUCAGGUC